UACGGGGGGGGCAAGCGUUGUUCGGAAUUACUGGGCGUAAAGGGCUCGUAGGCGGCCAACUAAGUCGGAUGUGAAAUCCCCAGGCUUAACCUGGGAACUGCAUCCGAUACUGGAUGGCUUGAAUUCGGGAGAGGGAUGCAGAAUUCCUGGUGUAGCGGUGAAAUGCGCAGAUAUCAGGAGGAACACCGGUGGCGAAGGCGGGUCUCUGGGCAACAACUGACGCUGAGGAGCGAAAAGCGUGGGGGAGCGAACAGG
rnacentral:rRNA from 1 species